rnacentral:rRNA from 1 species
AUUGAACGCUGGCGGCAGGCCUAACACAUGCAAGUCGAACGAGUGGCGGACGGGUGAGUAAUGUCUGGGAAACUGCCUGAUGGAGGGGGAUCACUACUGGAAACGGUAGCUAAUACCGCAUACCAUCAGAUGUGCCCAUAUGGGAUUAUCUUGUUGGUGGGGUAACGGCUCACCAAGGCGACGUUCCCUAGCUGGUUUGAGAGGAUGACCAGCCACACUGGGACUGAGACACGGUCCAGACUCCUGCGGGAGUCGGCAGUGGGGAAUAUUGCACAAUGGGGGAGAGCCUGAUGCAGCCAUGCAGCGUGUAUGAUGAAGGCCUUCGGGUUGUAAAGUACUUUCAGCGGGGAGGCGUUACCCGCAGAAGAAGCACCGGCUAACUCCGUGCCAGCAGCCGCGGUAAUAC